UACGGGGGGGGCAAGCGUUGUUCGGAAUUACUGGGCGUAAAGGGCUCGUAGGCGGCCAACUAAGUCGGACGUGAAAUCCCCAGGCUCAACCUGGGAACUGCGUCCGAUACUGGAUGGCUUGAAUUCGGGAGAGGGAUGCAGAAUUCCAGGUGUAGCGGUGAAAUGCGUAGAUAUCUGGAGGAAUACCGGUGGCGAAGGCGGCAUCCUGGACCGACAUUGACGCUGAAAACCGAAAGCUAGGGGAGCAAACGGG
rnacentral:rRNA from 1 species